UACUAGAGUAGCACUCGCAUAUCAAUAAGCGGAGGAAAAGAAACUAACAAGGAUUCCCCUAGUAACGGCGAGUGAAGCGGGAAGAGCUCAAAUUUGAAAUCUUAAGGGGUUUCCCUUUACGAAUUGUAGUUUAAAGAAGUGUUUUCUGUUGAGGUUUUGGUAAAAGUUCUUUGGAAUAGGACAUCAUAGAGGGUGAGAAUCCCGUAUUUGACCUUUACUUUCAACUUUGUGAUACACUUUCAAAGAGUCGGAUUGUUUGGGAAUGCAGUCCAAAAUGGGUGGUAAAUUUCAUCUAAAGCUAAAUAUUGGCGAGAGACCGAUAGCGAACAAGUACCGUGAGGGAAAGAUGAAAAGAACUUUGAAAAGAGAGUUAAACAGUACGUGAAAUUGUCAAAAGGGGAAGCGUUUGACACCAGUGUUGUUUUUCCUGAAAAUCAAUUAAAGAACUGUUUAUGCUAAGCUGUUUAGACUUUAUCAGCUAACUGUUUAGUUUUGAGCUUUUCUUUAAUGCACUUUUCAGUUAACAAGUCAACAUCAAUUUCUUUUGCUGUAAAAAAGCUUGAGGAAGGUGGCUUGAGAUUCGUCUUAAGUGUUUAUAGCCUCUUGCCUAUGCAGUCGGAGAGAUUGAGGUCUGCAGCGUAGAUCCUUCGGGGCUAAAUGCAUUUGUGCUAAGUUAUAGCAUUUUAUAGACAACUUGUUGACUAUGAUUUGUCUUGUAGCUUACUCGCUUAUGUUAUUUUACCUACGCUUAGGAUGUUGAGUCAUCACACAUCUCU
rnacentral:rRNA from 1 species